UACGUAGGGUGCAAGCGUUAAUCGGAAUUACUGGGCGUAAAGCGUGCGCAGGCGGUUGUGCAAGACCGAUGUGAAAUCCCCGGGCUUAACCUGGGAAUGGCAUUGGUGACUGCACGGCUAGAGUGUGUCAGAGGGGGGUAGAAUUCCACGUGUAGCAGUGAAAUGCGUAGAGAUGUGGAGGAAUACCGAUGGCGAAGGCAGCCCCCUGGGAUAACACUGACGCUCAUGCACGAAAGGCGUGGGGAGCAAACAGG
rnacentral:rRNA from 1 species